rnacentral:lncRNA from 1 species
UCAUGCCAAGAAUCAGGCAAAUAUCAAAUGAAGGAAGAAAAUCAACAGAUGAAAAAUGAAAUUUAACAGAUGCUGUCACUGAGACAGUGCAGAUGGACUGAUCUGAAACACCUAGUGCUUGGAAAUCAGAAGAUUCCUUUCUGUCCAACCUGAGCUUUAAGGGAAGAGAAAGAAGUCACCAAGAAGCAACAAUACUUGUUUUUGUACCUAGUCACCUCAUACUUUCAACCUUCAAAACGUCCUGCCCAAUGGAUUCCUGUCCCCCUUCCCUGGGCAUGUGGCAAGGGUGUCACUUUCCAUCAUGUGUUCAGUUUCAGGCUGCCAAGUUGCUCAAACAGAAGCACACUUGUUCUUAGUCUUGUCAAGCCCCGUGGUUCCUGAGUCUGUUCUGUUGUCCAAAAUUCUCCGGACAAUCAGCUGUUAUCCAAAGGGUUGGGUGAUCUUCCAAAGAGGAAGUUGGGGGUCAGAUCAGUCCCGCAUUAUACAAUGGUCUUCCAGUAGAUUCCAUAGGUAGGUUAAGUACAGCUACUUGAUUGCAGGCCUUGUUUACUCAUAUAUUGGUCAUUUUCUGCCAAAGAUGCCCUUGUCUACUAACAGGGAGAAAAGAUUUAAGAGGGAAAUGAGCAGUAAAGAAGGGAAUUAGGCUUUUUGGUCUAUUUUUUUUCUUUAUAUCUAUAUAUUGAUUUAUGUAGAGGUGAAUGACUUCAGUGAUUCUUCUGUCAUGUCAAAGGGCUUCAAGUUUUGCUGACAUGGGGGCAGCAGCAGGUUUUCAGUGCAUUUGCUUCUCUGACAUCAUCAGCUGGGUUUCAAGAAAAUCGAGAGUGGAGGACAUUUGUAGUAAUAUUUUAAAAAGCA